GCCGCCGUAGCUCAGCCGGUAGAGCGACGCUUUCGUAAAGCGUAGGUCAUCAGUUCGAAUCUGAUCGGCGGCU
rnacentral:tRNA from 1 species